rnacentral:rRNA from 1 species
GUGGGGUAAAGGCUCACCAAGGCGACGAUCCUUAGCUGGUCUGAGAGGAUGAUCAGCCACACUGGGACUGAGACACGGCCCAGACUCCUACGGGAGGCAGCAGUGGGGAAUGUUGGACAAUGGGCGAAAGCCUGAUCCAGCAAUGCCGCGUGAGUGAUGAAGGCCUUAGGGUUGUAAAGCUCUUUUACCAGGGAUGAUAAUGACAGUACCUGGAGAAUAAGCUCCGGCUAACUCCGUGCCAGCAGCCGCGGUAAUACGGAGGGAGCUAGCGUUGUUCGGAAUUACUGGGCGUAAAGCGCACGUAGGCGGCUACUCAAGUCAGAGGUGAAAGCCCGGGGCUCAACCCCGGAACUGCCUUUGAAACUAGGUAGCUAGAAUCUUGGAGAGGUCAGUGGAAUUCCGAGUGUA